UCCCUCGACUCCUUGUUUGAUCUCAUUAGGGAUGGGUCAAAUCGAAUAUUGGUUCGAGUUGUUCAGUUUUCGGUUUAGGUUGCAAUCCAUUCAAGUUGGCGAAUUCAACUCAAUCGGGUUUGAAAUUUAAACCCAAACCAUACUGAACCGAGCUAAUUCAAUUUGGUAGGUUCAAAUUUGAGCUUCCGAUCGGAUCCGAUUGAAAAUUCAGAUCUUUCUUUUAGUUGGUGUUACAAUUCGAGUUAUAACCUAAAAUUCCAUCUUCACCUUCAAAUGAAUCAAAUCCCAGCCACCUAAAAUUCCAAAUUCAGUUUCAUAUGAAUUAAAUGCCAGCCUUGAUCAAUUGCAAAGUUUGUUGCUUGUCGAUGGAAGAAGAAAUUAGAAAAGUGAAUAAAUAAGAGAAACUCAUGACAGUUGUUAUUUUUUGACUUUUUAUUGAUGAUGGCGAACACUUUCCCAACCAACCUACAGUAUUUAAAUAACCAUCACCCAAAUUAUAUUGAACAAUCAUGUAUAAAAAAUCAUCAAUAAUAGGACCCAAAGUCCCAAAUUACAGACAAUAAUCUUACCUUGUGCUGCUGAUGAUGGCGAACGAAGAUAAAGGCAGUGACGAGCGACAGAAGAGAAAAUCGUUUCAAGAACUGAGGUGACAGAGACGAUAGUUGCAACUUCGGAAUGUGGUGGCGUCGUUGUUUUUUAACUUAGGGCUAGCGAUUAGGGUGUGUGUGUGUGUUGCGGUACGGAGAAGGAGAUUAGGGCUUAUGUUUUAUUUUAUUUUUUAAAAUUUUGCCUUUUAUAACUCUUUUGUUUCUAUUUUUUAUUUUUACAGUAAACCCGUUCGGGUUUUUAAUUCAGUUCGGGUUGAAUCUGAACUGAAAUAAAAAAUGAUCCG
rnacentral:lncRNA from 1 species